CGUGUCCUACGGGAGGCAGCAGUGGGGAAUAUUGCACAAUGGGGGAAACCCUGAUGCAGCGACGCCGCGUGAGCGAUGAAGUAUUUCGGUAUGUAAAGCUCUAUCAGCAGGGAAGAAAAUGACGGUACCUGACUAAGAAGCCCCGGCUAACUACGUGCCAGCAGCCGCGGUAAUACGUAGGGGGCAAGCGUUAUCCGGAUUUACUGGGUGUAAAGGGAGCGUGGACGGCGAUGCAAGCCAGAUGUGAAAGCCCGGGGCGCAACCCCGGGACUGCAUUUGGAACUGUGUGGCUGGAGUGUCGGAGG
rnacentral:rRNA from 1 species